CCUACGGGAGGCAGCAGUGAGGAAUAUUGGUCAAUGGACGAGAGUCUGAACCAGCCAAGUAGCGUGAAGGAUGACUGCCCUAUGGGUUGUACACUUCUUUUAUAUGGGAAUAAAAUGUUCCACGUGUGGCAUUUUGUAUGUACCAUAUGAAUAAGGAUCGGCUAACUCCGUGCCAGCAGCCGCGGUAAUACGGCGGAUCCGAGCGUUAUCCGGAUUUAUUUGUCUUAAAGGGAGCGUAGGUGGAUCCUUAAGUCAGUUGUGCAAGUUUGCGGCUCAACCGUGAAAUUGCAGUUGAAACUGGCAGUCUUGAGUACAGUAGAGGUGGGCGGAAUUCGUGGUGUAGCGGUGAAAUGCUUAGAUAUCACGAAGAACUCAGAUUGCGAAGGCAGCUCACUGGACUGAAACUGACACUGAGGCUCGAAAGUGUGGGUAUCAAACAGGAUUAGAUACCCUUGUAGUC
rnacentral:rRNA from 1 species